rnacentral:lncRNA from 1 species
CUGAUGCAUCGCAGUGUCCACAUAUGCAGGGAGGCUGGUUUCCUAGGAAGCCUCCCAAUGAGGAAAUUGUUGGGAAUGUGCUGCAAGGCGCUGCCUCGCUCUGGAGCCAGACGAGAGGCCGGAGCAUCCGCCCCAACAUGGCUGGCUGUGUGAGCCUCAGGAACGCUGGCAGCUCUGCAAGACUCUCUGCCAUCUGCAAAAUAGGAGGAAAAUGAGCUGCAGAAGGAUCAAAUGACCUGCCUGAGGUGCCCUAUCUGUUGGCACAGGCCAGAGCACAUGGUGGAUGCAGGGGCACCCCCUUCCCUUCUCCUCCCCUCCGGCUCUUUGCUGACAGGAUUCUCUCUUGCCUUCUCUGAUGGUACCUGUGCUACGUGCCACAUCCUUUCCCUCAAUGAAUUUCAGGCAGUGGAAGGGGCCGCAGAAGUUCCUUGACUCAUGAGGCGAGGCAUUCAGCGGCCUCGUGACACCUCCCAGGAUCUGCAGUCAUUGGGCUGCACUUGCCAAUAGCAACACCUGGCAAAAAUAGCUAAGAAGCAGAGCGGCCUGGGCUCAGGAGCUGAGCAACCCCUGACUGGCCAGAUGGAGACUGUGUUGAGCUCUGCCCAAGCCCUGUGAUCCUGGAAAACAGUGAAGUUAAGGAGCCAUCUGCAUUCUAGGGAAUGGCCCACUGCAAAAAAUAGCCUUCCUUAUAGGACGUAGAGGACUCAUGAUGUCCCCUCAUUUAUGAUGAGCCAACACACAGCCCUUCCAAAUUCCGAUUCUUUGCUUCAUAACUGAUGAGCUGUUUUGUUCCCACUGGUCAAUCGGAACAACAUUCUUGCUAACCAGAUUUUGGUUCAGCUCUUCUCCCUCCCCAUGUACCUGCCCUGUGUCCUGUCCUCAUCCUGAGCCAGCACACACCCCUCCUUAGUAGCUCCUCCUGCAGCAGGCUGACCUCGGACUCUCCCUGAUCCAUUGUCCAAAUAUAUCACCCUUUCACCCUACAUCCUCACACCCCAUUCUUUCUAGUUUUGUUCAUUCCUCCCUGUGAAAGAUGAACCCUCUUUGCCUAACCCCGGACCUGCUUGCAGACUGCUAUGAUGGCCAGAGUGUCCCCCCUACUGCAAGAGUCCCUUCUGUCCCUUGCAACAUCUUUUAAAUAAAAUCUCUCUU